UUCCACAGAAUAUCUCCAUGAGAAGGCAUGACUCCUUCUGCCUGUUUUGUCCCUCAUUCGCUCAGUAGUCAGUGUAGAUCCUGUCCCUUUCAAUCAGCAGCUACAUCUGGCUACUGGGUCUCUGAUGGCAUCUUAGAGCUUCUGUCCC
ensembl:miRNA MIR222 microRNA 222